CUCCCCAUUACUUCCUUUCUUUUUUAAACUAGGCAACCACCUUCAAUCCUAGUUGAUUCAAGGAUAUAACGUUAUCAACAGUGAUGUGCAGAUAAAUGUUUAACAACCAGCUCUUGGAAGUAGUGGGGAGUCCAUAUUUGUAGCAUUUGCUGACUCCCAUGGUGUAAAUACUCCCACCCUGGCCAAUUUCAAGCUACCAACAUGACCGAAUGUGGAGUUGACAGGAGAUGUGCAGUAGCUCACCAUAAUACAAUAUUUACUAUAUAAAUGCAAAUAACCUAAAAAGCAUAGAUUGUAGUAAAAUACAGUGAAAUCAUUAGGAAUUAAUGGGUUCUGAGCAUUUAUUACCUUUUUUUCAACAAUAACUUAUCAUAUUGUUAGUUGAUGGAAUUUAAUGUUUAAUAAUGCCUGUGUUUCUCAACCAGGUCACAAAAUUCCUGAAAAUUUUAGCAAUCAGCUCUUGUAAGCCCACAUGAGCUGGUUCCAGAAUACCACUGGAUGAAUAAAUGCAAAAGCAGAAAAAUAACGAAAACAGUGUCUCCGUAUGGAUGCCAAACUCUUCUUAGAAGUUGGAUGAGUCCAUCGAAAGAGGUUCCUAUAGAUGGGCCUGAGGUGAAGUUGAAAUCGCAGCCAGGCUGCUUCCUGCAAAUCAGCCUUGUGAGCAUGGUUCUUCAUGUGUCCUCUCCUCUGCCUCUCUCAUCUUAAUGGUCCAGGUGGAACUGCUGGGCAACCAUAGUCACCCUCAUCUUCACAGCCUCUUUUGCAGACAAGACGAGAUAGAGACCUUGCUUCGCAGCUAUAUUUGUA